AUUGAACGCUGGCGGCAGGCUUAACACAUGCAAGUCGAGCGAGCGGCGGACGGGUGAGUAAUGUCUGGGGAACUGCCCGAUGGAGGGGGAUAACUACUGGAAACGGUAGCUAAUACCGCAUACCAUCAGAUGUACCCAGAUGGGAUUAGCUAGUAGGUGGGGUAAUGGCUCACCUAGGCGACGAUCCCUAGCUGGUCUGAGAGGAUGACCGGCCACACUGGGACUGAGACACGGUCCAGACUCCUACGGGAGGGAGCAGUGGGGAAUCUUCCACAAUGGGCGGAAGUCUGAUGCAGCCACGCCGCGUGUGUGAAGAAGGCCUUCGGGUUGUAAAGCUCUUUCAGCGAGGAGGCGUUAUUCGCCCAAGAAGCACCGGCUAACUCCGUGCCAGCAGCCGCGGUAAUUC
rnacentral:rRNA from 1 species